rnacentral:tRNA from 1 species
AGGGAAUUAGCUCAAAUGGUAGAGCACUCGCUUAGCAUGUGAGAGGUAGCAGGAUUGAUGCCUGCAUUCUCCA